rnacentral:rRNA from 1 species
GAAUCUGGCUCUAGGUCUGGGACAACCACUGGAAACGGUGGCUAAUACCGGAUGUGCCGAAAGGUGAAAGGUUAACUGCCUGGAGAUGAGCUCGCGUCUGAUUAGCUAGUAGGUGUGGUAAAGGCGCACCUAGGCGACGAUCAGUAGCUGGUCUGAGAGGACGAUCAGCCACACUGGGACUGAGACACGGCCCAGACUCCUACGGGAGGCAGCAGUGGGGAAUUUUCCGCAAUGGGCGAAAGCCUGACGGAGCAAUACCGCGUGAGGGAGGAAGGCUCUUGGGUCGUAAACCUCUUUUCUCAGGGAAGAACACAAUGACGGUACCUGAGGAAUAAGCAUCGGCUAACUCCGUGCCAGCAGCCGCGGUAAUACGGAGGAUGCAAGCGUUAUCCGGAAUGAUUGGGCGUAAAGCGUCCGCAGGUGGCUGUGUAAGUCUGCUGUUAAAGAGUCUAGCUCAACUAGAUAAAAGCAGUGGAAACUACACGGCUAGAGUACGUUCGGGGCAGAGGGAAUUCCUGGUGUAGCGGUGAAAUGCGUAGAGAUCAGGAAGAACACCGGUGGCGAAGGCGCUCUGCUAGGCCGUAACU